rnacentral:lncRNA from 1 species
UGGGUCCCGCUCCAUUCCUCGGCGUCAGGAGUGGUGCUCCAGCAGCACCCAUGGCAGACGUCUCUUGGACAGGUAUGCAGCCGGGAAUGGAAUUGCUGGAUCUGUUUUGCUACCAUUGAGGAGCCUCGGUACUGCUCUCCACGACGCUAUGCUGAUUCCACCCAAAGCCUGGAGGGCGGCCCUUUUCCUCGGCUUCCGCCAGCACUUGCUGUCGUUUGUCUGUUGACCUGAGUGAGGUGCUAGCUCACUGUGGUUCUGAUUUCUGUGUCCCUGCAGAGAGUGAUGUUGAGCGGUUUUUCCUGUGCCCGUGGCUGCUGUCAUAUGCCCCUUUGAAAAACGCCUGCUUAGAUCUGCUCAGGUUUAAACUGGAUUCUUUUUCUAUCAGCUCUUUAUUUGAGGGGGUCUUAAAGAGUUUGUGGAAGAAAGACUGAAAAGUUUUUGCUACUCCCUCUCCAUUCUCCCUACAGAUGAUCAGAUAAUCAGCGUGAAUCACUCGUUUGGUUUGCCUUCUUAGCUGCCUAUCUAGCUACACUUCUACAAUAAGCACAUUUUGGUUUUGUUUUGUCUUAUAAAAGUGAGAUCAUGCCGCAGCUAGAUGUUUUAAACUAACGAUGCAUUGUGAGCGUCCCCCUGGGCCGAUACUUAAUGCAGAACACAUUCUUUAAAAGAACGGUUUAAUAUUCCAUAGUGUUUUGUUAUAGGAAAAUUAAUUUAAGCAUUACUCUACUGAUGGUUGUUUUAAGCUUUUUUUUCUUUUUCAUACAAUGCUGAGCAAUUAUAUAGAUAAAUUUGCAUGCUGGAACUUUUGUUGAACAGGGUGAAUUUCCAGAAGGGAAGCUGUCUGGUGAGAAGCGCGACCAGCGUUUUGUGGGGAGUGCGAGUUUAUGUUCUGUGCGGGUGCAGCAGCGCAGGUUCCUGUGCGCAGGGUGAGAACACGCUUUGGCGAAUGUUCCUGCCGGCGCCCAGUGGGACCGACGUUCCGCGGCGUGCGUCAGUGUGGACCGAGAGGAAGGCUCUCCUCGCUGCUUCGACUUCCACGGCCUUCCCCACAUAUUCAGAGCUAUGCUGCAUCCAGCGUCAGUUGAGUGAAAGCGUUUCCUGGAUGAUCGAUGCAGUAAACAGUUGUGCCUCAAAAGAGACAAAAUGCCUGCAAAAUAAUGGCCUAAUGGCAUUUCAAGUCAAUUAUUUCAUCUGUAGUUAAUUAAAAGCAGUCAAAACGAUUGGCUGAGGUGUGAAAUUCCCUGAGCGCGAUAGUUUUAAGCUGUCUUAGGAGUUGUUGUUACCCCGUAUGUACCUGGCCUUUUGAAAUGGUGUGAAAUCUACUUCACCAGGAAACCACUGCCUCUCAGGAUUUCUGUACUUAUUUCUUCCAGGGGACAACCUUGUGCAAGGCUCCCCAGCGGCCGUCAGCACGGUGACCCGCCCCAAGUGUAGGCAGGUUCUCCGGCCAGCGGUCGCAGGGUGGGCCCCGCCCCGCCCCGCCCCGCCCCGCCCCGCCCCGCCCCGCCCCGCCCCGCCCCGCCCCGGAGCAGCGGUCGCAGGGUGGGCCCCCCCAGGAGCAGCUGGGGUUGGUAGUGGGUGAGAGCGUCAGGGUGGAAAUGCUGGCAAUUCUAAGAACACAAUACAGCAAAAUGAGGUGAUGGGCGGCGAGAGAAGGCGGAGAUGAGAGAGAACCACCUGUGCCAACCAUGCAUGGCAAAGGUGACAGAGGCAGACUGCGAGCUACUUGAAUAGUUUUUACAAGAGUGCAGAGCUGAAGAUUUCCUCCAUGACUCAACGUCACCACCAUCACAGCGCCGAAAGCUUUGUCUGUCACGCACCGCUCCUCUCUUCCUGUAUUCUCUUAUAUACGGGAGAGUUGGUGUUGCUGAGCUGCGCGGUUGUAAGAAGCGUCCCAAAUGGAUGGCGAUGGAAUGCAAUGCGAGUCUCCCUCUCGGGUGGCGGUCUGGUCCUGAUCUCGGGUCGCGGUCUGGUCUCAGUCUUGGGUCGCGGUCUGGUCUCCCUAUCGGGUCGCGGUCUGGUCUCCCUCUCGGGUCGCGGUUCUGGUGCAGCUGGUGGCCUCCCAAGCAUUGCUCGGUGGUGACCCCAGGGGCUCUGAUUCUGUGGGUUCGUCUCAAGGCUGCUUUGGUGGCACCCGUUGGCUGAUGGGAACGCGAGUCAGAGCAGAGGAGGGGACCGGGUGGGGAUGGGGCGAGGCCUGC